GACGUAAGGUGCAAGCGUUGUUCGGAAUUAUUGGGCGUAAAGGGCAUGUAGGCGGAAAAUCAAGCUUGGUGUGAAAUCCCGGGGCUCAACUCCGGAACUGCAUUGAGAACUGGUUAACUAGAGUCACUGAGGGGCAGCCAGAAUUCCAGGUGUAGGGGUGAAAUCUGUAGAUAUCUGGAAGAAUACCAAUGGCGAAGGCAGGCUGCCAGCAGAUGACUGACGCUGAGGUGCGAAGGUGCGGGGAGCAAACAGG
rnacentral:rRNA from 1 species